UGCCAUCCGCCGCGGUAAUACGAAGGGUGCUAGCGUUGUUCGGAAUUACUGGGCGUAAAGAGCAUGUAGGCGGAUGAAUUAGUCAGAGGUGAAAGCCCCGAGCUCAACCCCGGAACUGCCUCCAAAACUGUCGAUCUAGAGACCGGGAGAGGUAAGCGGAAUUCCUAGUGUAGAGGUGAAAUUCGUAGAUAUUAGGAAGAACACCAGUGGCGAAGGCGGCUCACUGGCUCGAUACUGACGCUGAGGUGCGAAAGUGUGGGGAGCAAACAGGAUUAGAUA
rnacentral:rRNA from 1 species